CAGCCGCCGCGGGAAAACGGAGGGUGCAAGCGUUAAUCGGAAUUACUGGGCGUAAAGCGCACGCAGGCGGUCUGACAAGUCAGAUGUGAAAUCCCCGGGCUUAACCUGGGAACUGCAUUUGUGACUGUAUAGCUAGAGUACGGCAGAGGGGGAUGGAAUUCCGCGUGUAGCAGUGAAAUGCGUAGAUAUGCGGAGGAACACCGAUGGCGAAGGCAAUCCCCUGGGCCUGUACUGACGCUCAUGCACGAAAGCGUGGGGAGCAAACAGGAUUAGAUACCCCCGUAGUCCCUGUCUCUUAUAC
rnacentral:rRNA from 1 species